rnacentral:lncRNA from 7 species
GAGCCCACGGAGCCGGUCACCUACACUCCUGGCUGGGCAAGCCGUGGAAGCACAGUAAGCCAUGAGGCUUUUUGGGGCCAAAAGGGCCUUUUUGGGGGUCAGGGUGGUGUUCUUGGGGUCAAAAUGGCGUCUGUUGGGGUCAAGAUGGCGUCUGUUGGGUCUUAAUGGCGUCUAUGGGAGUCAAGAUGGCGUCUGUUGGGUCUCCAUGGCAUCUAUGGGGGCAAAGAUAAUAUGUUUUGGGGUCAGGAUGGGGUUUCUGGGGCCAGGAUGGUGUCUUUGGGGUCAAAAUGGGGGUUUUGGGGGUCAAGAUGGCGUCUGUUGGGUCUUAAUGGCGUCUACGGGGGUCAAGAUGGCGUCUGUUGGGUCUCCAUGGCAUCUAUGGGGGCAAAGAUAAUAUGUUUUGGGGUCAGGAUGGGGGUUUCUGGGGCCAGGAUGGUGUCUUUGGGGUCAAAAUGGGGGUUUUGGGGGUCAAGAUGGGUCUGUUUGGGUCUUAAUGGCGUCUACGGGGGUCAAGAUGGCGUCUGGUUGGGUCUCCCAUGGCAUCUAUGGGGGCAAAGAUAAUAUGUUUUGGGGUCAGGAUGGGGGUUUCUGGGGCCAGGAUGGUGUCUUUGGGGUCAAAAUGGGGGUUUUGGGGGUCAAGAUGGCGUCUGUUGGGUCUUAAUGGCGUCUACGGGGGUCAAGAUGGCGUCUGUUGGGUCUCCAUGGCAUCUAUGGGGGCAAAGAUAAUAUGUUUUGGGGUCAGGAUGGGGGUUUCUGGGGCCAGGAAUGGUGUCUUUGGGUCAAAAUGGGGGGUUUUGGGGGUCAGAUGGCGUCUGUUGGGGUCUUAAUGGCGUCUUAUGGGGGGUCAAGAUGGCGCCUGUUAGGUCUCCAUGGCAUCUAUGGGGCAAAGAUGAUAUCUUUUGGGGGUCAGGAUGGGGGUUUUGGGGGCCAGGAUGGCAUCCAUGGGGGUCAAGAUGGGGUCUAUUGGGUCAAAAUGGCUCUUUUGGGGCCAAGAUGGCAUCCGUUGGCCCCAUGACCUCCGGGUUCCGGCCUGGAUGAGCCACGGAAGCCCGGGGUCACCUACACCUCCUGGCUGGGCAAGCCGUGGAAGCACGGUGACCCCGAGCCGUGCGCCCACCCCAACUCGCGUUUCUGCGCCCCGGCCGAUCAGUUGCCCCAUUAAUGGACGCCUGCGUUGGGACGACCGCGAAGGAGUUCCAUCGACGCCAUCAUCUUCGGGGGCGCCGUCCCCGGCGGAGUGCCGUUGGUGGUGGAGGCCUUUGGGUGGCGCACACGGCAGUUUUUCAAUGGGCAGCGCAAUGAGAAGCGAAGCCACCGCCGCUGCCGAGCACAAAGGUGGGUCCUCCAGACCCACAACUCCUGGUCUCCAGGACCCACAAGUGUCCUCCCCUCGCACCCAAUAAUGGGUCCUCCCAUAACGCAUCACAAGCUGGUCCUCCAGCCCCACAAGUGGUCCUCCUGCCCAACAAGUAGGUUCUCCAGUCCCAUAAAUGGGUCCUCCUGCUCCACAGCUGGGUUCUCCAGUCCCAUAAGUGGGUCCUCCAGGCCCACAAGUUGGUCCUCCUGCCCCAUAAAUGGGUCCUCCUGCUCCACAGCUGGGUUCUCCAGUCCCAUAAGUGGGUCCUCCAGGCCCACAAGUGGGUCCUCCUGCCCCACAGCUGGGUUCUCCAGUCCCAUAAGUGGGCUUCUUCCAGCCCAAAGUGGGGUCCUCCUGCCCCACAGCUGGGUCCUCCAGCCCCACAAGUGGUCCUCCUGCCCGACAAGUAGGUCCUCCAGUCCCAUAAGUGGGUCCUCCUGCCCCACAGCCGGGUUCUCCAGUCCCAUAAGUGGGUUUCCACGUUUCUCGCAUUAAGUGGGUCCUCCAGGCCCACAAGUGGUCCUCCAGCCCCACAACUAGGUCCUCCAGCCCCACAACUACGGUUCUGCCAGCCAUAACGUGGGUCCUCCUGGCCCCACAGCUUGGUCCAUCCUGCCCAUAACCACCAAUC